AUACGUAGGGGGCGAGCGUUGUCCGGAAUUAUUGGGCGUAAAGGGUUCGUAGGCGGUAAUGCAUGUCAGCUGUGAAAUCUUGUGGCUUAACCACAUCAAGCAUCUGAAACUGCAUAACUUGAGUGAAGGAGAGGUAAGUGGAAUUCCUAGUGUAGCGGUGAAAUGCGUAGAUAUUAGGAAGAAUACCAGUAGCGAAGGCGACUUACUGGCCUUUAACUGACGCUGAUGAACGAAAGCGUGGGUAGCAAACAGGAUUAGAUACCCUGGUAGUCCACGCCGUAAACGAUGAGUGCUAGGUGUCGGGAGUCAAAUCUCGGUGCCGUAGUUAACGCAAUAAGCACUCCGCCUGGGGAGUACGUGCGCAAGCAUGAA
rnacentral:rRNA from 1 species